UACGUAGGGUGCAAGCGUUGUCCGGAAUUAUUGGGCGUAAAGAGCUUGUAGGUGGUUUGUUAAGUCUGAUGUGAAAGCCCUGGGCUCAACCUGGGAACGGCAUUGGAAACUGGCUUACUAGAGUGCGGUAGAGGGGUGUGGAAUUCCCGGUGUAGCAGUGAAAUGCGUAGAUAUCGGGAGGAACAUCUGUGGCGAAGGCGACACCCUGGACCAGCACUGACACUGAGGCACGAAAGCGUGGGGAGCAAACAGG
rnacentral:rRNA from 1 species